GAAAAUGGUAAGCAGUUCUCUGCCAAGCGAACUCGGACUUGGUCCAGUUGUAAGACAACCUGUCCCUCACCGAUGGGUAUGACUUUGCAGACACGCCCUCCAUCUCUCCCCUCGGUCUCACAUUGCUUGGAUCCUCCAAAUUAUUCUCAGGGAUGACCAUCCUAGACGGUGACUUAGGGUUCUCGUUGACGAUCAGGCCGACAAGUGACAGGAGGAACAUGACCGACGCGAGGAUACCGAUGAAGCCCCUGAUGGGUCGCCGCUGGCGGCUCUCUACUGGAGGGGUGGCAACGGAAGGGUCCUCCGGGAGGAGUGUAUAGGGCUGGUCUGAGGUUCGCGAGGCGUCCAUUUUGUUGGGCUUAGGAAACAAAUUGAGAAAUGUGAUAUAUAUGUAUGUUUGUACUGUGUAUAUGUGUCAGAGAGAGAGAGAGAGAGAGAGAGAGAGAGAGAGAGGGAGUGAGGGAGGGGAGAAGAAGGGCAGUAUAUGUAAAUAUAUGUUAAGCAUGUGCAUGUAAUAAAGGGGCGCAGGCAGGCAGGGGUAGUGUUGCAUUUGCAGCAGAAGGUAGAUUUAUUGUUUGAGCACAUCAGUUCUUUUCGAUUGGUUUGAUAGUUAUAUAAUGUGAUUUGAUUGGAUUUGGGGUGAGAUAGGUUGCGCAUGUGAAUGAAUUUGUGAUGGCUUAACGGAGGAGAUAAAAUACAUUUCUUAUUGUUAUUA